rnacentral:misc_RNA from 1 species
GGAAGCUGAACUAAGAAAGUUGAAGAUUCAGUCAGACCAAUGGAGGAAGGCUGCAGAAGUAGCAACCGCGAUGCUAUCAAAUGGCAAUAAUGGGAAGUUCAUGGAAAGAACCGGAUCAAUGGAUAGUCCUUACAGUCCUUGCAAGAUUAGCUCACCUUACUUUGAGGACAUGGAUGAAGAUUUGAUGAAAAGGAAAAAUCCAAAUAUGCUUAAAAGGAUCGGCGAGUUAUGGAAGAAGCCACUGAAAUAGGAAAAAGUACGCGGAAAAGGUACUUAUGUGAUGAUCCUUGAACUUAACCUCUUAGUUUAUGUAUUUGAAACAAAAUCAACUGAACUUCUUACUUAUUGUAAUCAUAUAGAAGCUCUGCUCAGCCUAGAACUGAGUCUAAUGAUUGUUCAAUUCUGUUACUCUUUCU